rnacentral:lncRNA from 1 species
UUGCCGUUGAAAAUAGUCUGAACUAUUACUCGACCAGUCUGAAACAGUCUUAACCCAUUCUCGACCUGUACUCGACCUAUUUUUCCAGUCUAAACCAUACUUAACCAAAGGUCAGAACAAUACUCGACCAGUCUGAACCAUACUAGACCAAAAAACCUCUACUUUUUUAACUGUUAAAAUAAUUUUCUUUUUAACUGACAUAUAUA